CCUUCGAUAGCUCAGCUGGUAGAGCGGAGGACUGUAGAGGCUCAUGGGCAUCCUUAGGUCGCUGGUUCAAAUCCGGCUCGAAGGA
rfam:Tetraodon nigroviridis, WGS project CAAE01000000 data, contig: CNS0BPN6, chromosome: undetermined